rnacentral:miRNA from 1 species
AGUUGGCUGAUUCUAAUAUU